AAUAGAUACCCUGGUAGUCCACGCCCUAAACUAUGUCAACUGGUUGUUGGGGGAGUGAAAUCCCUUAGUAACGAAGCUAACGCGUGAAGUUGACCGCCUGGGGAGUACGGUCGCAAGAUUAAAACUCAAAGGAAUUGACGGGGACCCGCACAAGCGGUGGAUGAUGUGGAUUAAUUCGAUGCAACGCGAAAAACCUUACCUACCCUUGACAUGUCCAGAAUCCUGCAGAGAUGCGGGAGUGCCCGAAAGGGAAUUGGAACACAGGUGCUGCAUGGCUGUCGUCAGCUCGUGUCGUGAGAUGUUGGGUUAAGUCCCGCAACGAGCGCAACCCUUAUCAUUAGUUGCUACGCAAGGGCACUCUAAUGAGACUGCCGGUGACAAACCGGAGGAAGGUGGGGAUGACGUCAAGUCCUCAUGGCCCUUAUGGGUAGGGCUUCACACGUCAUACAAUGGUCGGUACAGAGGGUUGCCAAGCCGCGAGGUGGAGCCAAUCCCAGAAAGCCGAUCGUAGUCCGGAUUGUUCUCUGCAA
rnacentral:rRNA from 1 species